rnacentral:ncRNA from 2 species
UGACAGCACUCUGGAGAGACCCAAAUUGGGCGCCGAAGGGGCAACAUAAGAUUAUUUUUAAAUCUCUCAGGCAAAAGGACAGAGUAUUAGUU